rnacentral:misc_RNA from 1 species
ACAAAACCCAGAGACAUUUCCAUGGUAUGGGAACAUAUUAUAAGGGCUGAAAUGCUGUCAUUCUGGCACAUAAAAUUCAAGGAAUGCAAUAAUUAACAAAUAAAACAAGAAUUGGACUCGACAACUUAAAACUACCGAGCUAUUAAUUAGUUCCCUCUACUCAUCAACAUUCACCAACUCAUACUCGACUAAAGAAAGGUUG